rnacentral:rRNA from 1 species
GACGAACCGUGCGAACGUUAUUCGGAAUCACUGGGCUUAAAGCGCGUGUAGGCGGGAGGGCACGUCCGUUGCUGAAAUCCCCCGGCUCAACCGGGGAACGGGCGCGGAUACGACUCUCCUUGAGGGGCGUAGGGGGACCUGGAACUUCCGGUGGAGCGGUGAAAUGCGUUGAGAUCGGAAGGAACGCCCGUGGCGAAAGCGAGGUCCUGGACGCCUACUGACGCUGAGACGCGAAAGCCAGGGGAGCGAACGGGG